UAGGAAUGAAAUUGAUGACUCGACUUAGACAUAGAAUUUCACAUAAAUAUUUUUUUCCACCUGAUAAAAUGAAAUAAGCAUCUAAUUAUGUCUCUAUUUGUUAACCCCUAAUCAUAUAGUAUAUCAAAACCAAAGAUCAUACAACCAUAAUCCAACCCAUAUGUUCUAAGGUUAUAAACAUAUCUAUAGGCCAUUUCAAAAGUUAUGCAAUACAUGAUCCCCAAAUUAUAACAUAAUAGACUGUAAGCUCAAAACAACAAUCCAAAAAAUAACCCUACAGGUCAUCAUCAAUGUACAUCAAACUUUGGAAUCUCGUAAGAGUUCCACAGCUAGCCAUGAUCUCUACGUAGUUCCAUGCUUACCUACAAUGCAAGAAUUACAUAAACUAAUUCUUAGUAAGCAAAAAUCAUGCACGUCAUGAGUAUGAGCAACAAUGAUAUAUGACACCAUGUCACUUAUUUUAAACAAUAUGCUAAAGAUGCAUCAUAUUCCAAUAUUCAUCAAAGUCAACUCGAAGUCAUUUCAUUUGAAAGUUUUCAUUUCAUUGGGCUUUUGACCCACCUACUAUGCAUCGGAUAGAGCUCUGCAUAAUAUCAAUAUUAGUAAUCAAUAAUUAAAUGGACAAUAUGAAAUCAACACCGACGAGUGGACCAUUCUCUCGUGACCACUAGAGGCCCAUUCCUAACUACCUCUAUGAUCUUCCAAGAAGUAUCUUACCUGAUAGCGCCAAUAAUCAUAACAUUACAAGGGCAUAGUCUAUUGGUCCACCCUUCCAUGAUCACCAAAGGCCCAUCCCCGAUCUACCUUUGCAAUCACCCAGAAAGUAUGACCAGCAAUGGCAAAAUAUAUCACAUAAGCAUGCCUCGGUGCCCUAGUGUGGUCAAUAAAACAUUUAUACGAAAAACUCAGUUUGAACUCAUGUUUCACAUGCAAGAUUUUAAACCAUAAUUACUGUCGUGAUGCAGAUGAAAAUGCUCAUGAAUGACAUAUUUAA
rnacentral:lncRNA from 1 species